rnacentral:ncRNA from 1 species
UAAUGUUUUCAGGGGCGAUAUUUAUAUCUGAGAAGUACCCUCAAAACCUGAACAAGAUAAUGCUUGCGUAGGGAGAAACAAAUGAAUUUAC